UUACUGAGAUAGGAGAAAACAUCCUUAGGGCUGGAGGUGAGACACGCUGGCGGCAAUACUGCUCUUUAAUGCACCGAGAUGUUUGUAUAAGUGCACAUCAAGGCACAGCACCUUUCCUUAAACUUAUUUAUGACACAGAGACCUUUGUUCACGUUUUCCUGCUGACCCUCUCCCCACUAUUACCCUAUUGGCCUGCCACAUCCCCCUCUCCGAGAUGGUAGAGAUAAUGAUCAAUAAAUACUGAGGGAACUCAGAGACCAGUGUCCCUGUAGGUCCUCCGUGUGCUGAGCGCCGGUCCCUUGGGCUCACUUUUCUUUCUCUAUACUUUGUCUCUGUGUCUCUUUCUUUUCUCAGUCUCUCGUUCCACCUGACGAGAAAUACCCACAGGUGUGGAGGGGCAGGCCACCCCUUCAAUAAUUUACUAGCCUGUUCGCUGACAACAAGACUGGUGGUGCAGAAGGUUGGGUCUUGGUGUUCACCGGGUGGCAGGCAUGGGCCAGGUGGGAGGGUCUCCAGCGCCUGGUGCAAAUCUCCAAGAAAGUGCAGGAAACAGCACCAAGGGUGAUUGUAAAUUUUGAUUUGGCGCGGCAGGUAGCCAUUCCAGCGCAAAAAUGCGCAGGAAAGCUUUUGCUGUGCUUGUAGGCAGGUAGGCCCCAAGCACUUCUUAUUGGCUAAUGUGGAGGGAACCUGCACAUCCAUUGGCUGAAAUCUCCGUCUAUUUGAGGCUGACUGAGCGCGUUCCUUUCUUCUGUGUUGCCUGGAAACGGACUGUCUGCCUAGUAACAUCUGAUCACGUUUCCCAUUGGCCGCCGUUUCCGGAAGCCCGCCCUCCCAUUUCCGGAAGCCUGGCGCAAGGUUGGUCUGCAGGUGGCCUCCAGGUGCAAAGUGGGAAGUGUGAGUCCUCAGUCUUGGGCUAUUCGGCCACGUGCCUGCCGGACAUGGGACGCUGGAGGGUCAGCAGCGUGGAGUCCUGGCCUUUUGCGUCCACGGGUGGGAAAUUGGCCAUUGCCACGGCGGGAACUGGGACUCAGGCUGCCCCCCGGCCGUUUCUCAUCCGUCCACCGGACUCGUGGGCGCUCGCACUGGCGCUGAUGUAGUUUCCUGACCUCUGACCCGUAUUGUCUCCAGAUUAAAGGUACGACAUUUGGAGGCCCCAGCGAGAAACGUCACCGGGAGAAACGUCACCGGGCGAGAGCCGGGCCCGCUGUGUGCUCCCCCGGAAGGACAGCCAGCUUGUAGGGGGGAGUGCCACCUGAAAAAAAAAUUUCCAGGUCCCCAAAGGGUGACCGUCUUCCGGAGGACAGCGGAUCGACUACCAUGUGGGUGCCCACAAAAAUUCCACCUCUGAGUCCUCAACUGCUGACCCCGGGGUCAGGUAGGUCAGAUUUGACUUUGGUUCUGGCAGAGGGAAGCGACCCUGAUGAGGGUGUCCCUCUUUUGACUCUGCCCAUUUCUCUAGGAUGCUAGAGGGUAGAGCCCUGGUUUUCUGUUAGACGCCUCUGUGUCUCUGUCUGGGAGGGAAGUGGCCCUGACAGGGGCCAUCCCUUGAGUCAGUCCACAUCCCAGGAUGCUGGGGGACUGAGUCCUGGUUUCUGGCAGACUGGUCUCUCUCUCUCUCUUUUUCUAUCUCUAAUCUUUCCUUGUUCAGGUUUCUUGGAGAAUCUCUGGGAAAGAAAAAAGAAAAACUGUUAUAAACUCUGUGUGAAUGGUGAAUGAAUGGGGGAGGACAAGGGCUUGCGCUUGUCCUCCAGUUUGUAGCUCCACGGCGAAAGCUACGGAGUUCAAGUGGGCCCUCACCUGCGGUUCCGUGGCGACCUCAUAAGGCUUAAGGCAGCAUCCGGCAUAGCUCGAUCCGAGCCGGGGGUUUAUACCGGCCUGUCAAUGCUAAGAGGAGCCCAAGUCCCCUAAGGGGGAGCGGCCAGGCGGGCAUCUGACUGAUCCCAUCACGGGACCCCCUCCCCUUGUUUGUCUAAAAAAAAAAAAAGAAGAAACUGUCAUAACUGUUUACAUGCCCUAGGGUCAACUGUUUGUUUUAUGUUUAUUGUUCUGUUCGGUGUCUAUUGUCUUGUUUAGUGGUUGUCAAGGUUUUGCAUGUCAGGACGUCGAUAUUGCCCAAGACGUCUGGGUAAGAACUUCUGCAAGGUCCUUAGUGCUGAUUUUUUGUCACAGGAGGUUAAAUUUCUCAUCAAUCAUUUAGGCUGGCCACCACAGUCCUGUCUUUUCUGCCAGAAGCAAGUCAGGUGUUGUUACGGGAAUGAGUGUAAAAAAACAUUCGCCUGAUUGGGAUUUCUGGCACCAUGAUGGUUGUAUUUAGAUUGUCAUACCCCACAUCCAGGUUGAUUGGACCUCCUCUAAACUAAACUGGUGGUGGGUUCAAAACAGCCACCCUGCAGAUUUCCUUGCUCACCUCUUUGGUCAUUCUGUAACUUUUCCUGUGCCCUUAAAUAGCACACUGUGUAGGGAAACCUACCCUCGUACUGCUUUACUUCGUUUAGAUUCUUACUCUGUUCCUCUGUGGCUACUCUCCCAUCUUAAAAACGAUCCAAGUGGUCCUUUUCCUCCUCCCUGCCCCCUACCCCACACAUCUCGUUUUCCAGUGCGACAGCAAGUUCAGCGUCUCCAGGACUUGGCUCUGCUCUCACUCCUUGAACCCUUAAAAGAAAAAGCUGGGUUUGAGCUAUUUGCCUUUGAGUCAUGGAGACACAAAAGGUAUUUAGGGUACAGAUCUAGAAGAAGAGAGAGAACACCUAGAUCCAACUGACCCAGGAGAUCUCGGGCUGGCCUCUAGUCCUCCUCCCUCAAUCUUAAAGCUACAGUGAUGUGGCAAGUGGUAUUUAGCUGUUGUGGUUUUUCUGCUCUUUCUGGUCAUGUUGAUUCUGUUCUUUCGAUACUCCAGCCCCCCAGGGAGUGAGUUUCUCUGUCUGUGCUGGGUUUGAUAUCUAUGUUCAAAUCUUAUUAAAUUGCCUUCAAAAAAAAAAAAAAAGGGGAAACACUUCCUCCCAGCCUUGUAAGGGUUGGAGCCCUCUCCAGUAUAUGCUGCAGAAUUUUUCUCUCGGUUUCUCAGAGGAUUAUGGAGUCCGCCUUAAAAAAGGCAAGCUCUGGACACUCUGCAAAGUAGAAUGGCCAAAGUUUGGAGUUGAGUGGCCCCUUGAAGGGUCACUGAACCUCACAAUUGUUCAAGCUGUGUGGCGGGUUGUUACUGAAACUCCCGGCCUCCCUGAUCAGUUUCCCUACAUUGAUCAAUGGCUGAGUUUGGUCAGGAGCACCCCUUCCAUGGCUCCACUCAUGCACCAUUCAUAAUUUUACCUCCAAGGUCCUCCUGAGCCAGACCGUGUUUUCGCCUCGACCCUCAGCCGGUUUAGCUCGCCCUGUACUGCCUCUCUCUGAAGAAGAGGAGAGUCUCCCUCACCCAGUCCCACCGCCUUAAAACCAGCCUACUCCCUUAGGGUCAUCCCAUGUCUCCUCGGCUAUGUCCCCUGUAGGCUCAUCACCCAUUGCCUCUUGGUUGCAACCGUGGUGGGAGGAAGUAGCCCCUCUACUACCACUGAGAGAGGCACAAGUCCCUCUGGGUGAUGAGUGCUCCACCCCCUUCCUGGUUUAUGUCCCUUCUUUCUACUUCUGACUUGUAUAAUUGGAAAACCCAUAAUCCUCCCUUCUCUGAAAAGCCCCAGGCUUUGACCUCACUGAUGGAGUCUGUACUCUGGACACAUUGGCCCACCUGGGAUGACUGUCAACAGCUCCUUUUGACCCUUUUCACCUCUGAAGAGAGGGAAAGUAUCCAAAGAGAGGCCAAAAAGUACAACCUCACAUCAACCAAUAGGCCGGAGGAGGAAGCUAGAGGAAUAGUGAUUAGAGACCCAAUUGGGACCUAAUUGGGACCCAAAUUUCUCAAGUGGAGGGAGAACUUUUGACGAUUUCCACCGGUAUCUCCUCGUGGGUAUUCAGGGAGCUGCUCAGAAACCUAUAAACUUGUCUAAGGCGACUGAAGUCGUCCAGGGGCAUGAUGAGUCACCAGGAGUGUUUUUAGAGCACCUCCAGGAGGCUUAUCGGAUUUACACCCCUUUUGACCUGGCAGCCCCCGAAAAUAGCCAUGCUCUUAAUUUGGCAUUUGUGGCUCAGGCAGCCCCAGAUAGUAAAAGGAAACUCCAAAAACUAGAGGGAUUUUGCUGGAAUGAAUACCAGUCAGCUUUUAGAGAUAGCCUAAAAGGUUUUUGACAGUCAAGAGGUUGAAAAACAAAAACAAGCAGCUCAGGCAGCUGAAAAAAGCCACUGAUAAAGCAUCCUGGAGUAUCAGAGUUUACUGUUAGAUCAGCCUCAUUUGACUUCCCCUCCCACAUGGUGUUUAAAUCCAGCUACACUACUUCCUGACUCAAACUCCACUAUUCCUGUUCAUGACUGUCAGGAACUGUUGGAAACUACUGAAACUGGCCGACCUGAUCUUCAAAAUGUGCCCCUAGGAAAGGUGGAUGCCACCGUGUUCACAGACAGUAGCAGCUUCCUCGAGAAGGGACUACGAAAGGCCGGUGCAGCUGUUACCAUGGAGACAGAUGUGUUGUGGGCUCAGGCUUUACCAGCAAACACCUCAGCACAAAAGGCUGAAUUGAUCGCCCUCACUCAGGCUCUCCGAUGGGGUAAGGAUAUUAACGUUAACACUGACAGCAGGUACGCCUUUGCUACUGUGCAUGUACGUGGAGCCAUCUACCAGGAGCGUGGGCUACUCACCUCAGCAGGUGGCUGUAAUCCACUGUAAAGGACAUCAAAAGGAAAACACGGCUGUUGCCCGUGGUAACCAGAAAGCUGAUUCAGCAGCUCAAGAUGCAGUGUGACUUUCAGUCACGCCUCUAAACUUGCUGCCCACAGUCUCCUUUCCACAGCCAGAUCUGCCUGACAAUCCCGCAUACUCAACAGAAGAAGAAAACUGGCCUCAGAACUCAGAGCCAAUAAAAAUCAGGAAGGUUGGUGGAUUCUUCCUGACUCUAGAAUCUUCAUACCCCGAACUCUUGGGAAAACUUUAAUCAGUCACCUACAGUCUACCACCCAUUUAGGAGGAGCAAAGCUACCUCAGCUCCUCCGGAGCCGUUUUAAGAUCCCCCAUCUUCAAAGCCUAACAGAUCAAGCAGCUCUCCGGUGCACAACCUGCGCCCAGGUAAAUGCCAAAAAAGGUCCUAAACCCAGCCCAGGCCACCGUCUCCAAGAAAACUCACCAGGAGAAAAGUGGGAAAUUGACUUUACAGAAGUAAAACCACACCGGGCUGGGUACAAAUACCUUCUAGUACUGGUAGACACCUUCUCUGGAUGGACUGAAGCAUUUGCUACCAAAAACGAAACUGUCAAUAUGGUAGUUAAGUUUUUACUCAAUGAAAUCAUCCCUCGACAUGGGCUGCCUGUUGCCAUAGGGUCUGAUAAUGGACCGGCCUUCGCCUUGUCUAUAGUUUAGUCAGUCAGUAAGGCGUUAAACAUUCAAUGGAAGCUCCAUUGUGCCUAUCGACCCCAGAGCUCUGGGCAAGUAGAACGCAUGAACUGCACCCUAAAAAACACUCUUACAAAAUUAAUCUUAGAAACCGGUGUAAAUUGUGUAAGUCUCCUUCCUUUAGCCCUACUUAGAGUAAGGUGCACCCCUUACUGGGCUGGGUUCUUACCUUUUGAAAUCAUGUAUGGGAGGGCGCUGCCUAUCUUGCCUAAGCUAAGAGAUGCCCAAUUGGCAAAAAUAUCACAAACUAAUUUAUUACAGUACCUACAGUCUCCCCAACAGGUACAAGAUAUCAUCCUGCCACUUGUUCGAGGAACCCAUCCCAAUCCAAUUCCUGAACAGACAGGGCCCUGCCAUUCAUUCCCGCCAGGUGACCUGUUGUUUGUUAAAAAGUUCCAGAGAGAAGGACUCCCUCCUGCUUGGAAGAGACCUCACACCGUCAUCACGAUGCCAACGGCUCUGAAGGUGGAUGGCAUUCCUGCGUGGAUUCAUCACUCCCGCAUCAAAAAGGCCAACGGAGCCCAACUAGAAACAUGGGUCCCCAGGGCUGGGUCAGGCCCCUUAAAACUGCACCUAAGUUGGGUGAAGCCAUUAGAUUAAUUCUUUUUCUUAAUUUUGUAAAACAAUGCAUAGCUUCUGUCAAACUUAUGUAUCUUAAGACUCAAUAUAACCCCCUUGUUAUAACUGAGGAAUCAAUGAUUUGAUUCCCCAAAAACACAAGUGGGGAAUGUAGUGUCCAACCUGGUUUUUACUAACCCUGUUUUUAGACUCUCCCUUUCCUUUAAUCACUCAGCCUUGUUUCCACCUGAAUUGACUCUCCCUUAGCUAAGAGCGCCAGAUACUGUGGCAAGCUAUAUCCGCAGUUCCCAGGAAUUCGUCCAAUUGAUUACACCCAAAAGCCCCGCGUCUAUCACCUUGUAAUAAUCUUAAAGCCCCUGCACCUGGAACUAUUAACGUUCCUGUAACCAUUUAUCCUUUUAACUUUUUUGCCUACUUUAUUUCUGUAAAAUUGUUUUAACUAGACCCCCCCUCUCCUUUCUAAACCAAAGUAUAAAAGCAAAUCUAGCCCCUUCUUCAGGCCGAGAGAAUUUCGAGCGUUAGCCGUCUCUUGGCCACCAGCUAAAUAAACGGAUUCUUCAUGUGUCUCAAAGUGUGGCGUUUUCUCUAACUCGCUCAGGUACGACCGUGGUAGUAUUUUCCCCAACGUCUUAUUUUUAGGGCACGUAUGUAGAGUAACUUUUAUGAAAGAAACCAGUUAAGGAGGUUUUG
rnacentral:lncRNA from 1 species